CUAUUUUGCUGACAACCGCCGGCCGGGUGAUUAACCCUUAGGAUUCUGCCUGGUAUUGGGGGACAACUUGUGAAACCCCUUGCUAAUACCCCAUACCCCCUACGGGGGAAAGGAGGGGUUCUUCGGACCUUUCCCUAUCAAAUGACCCUGCUUGAAAUUACCUAUUUGGUGGGGUAAAGGCUCACCAAGGCAACAAUCUCUACCUGGUCUGAAAGGAUGAUCACCCACCCUGGAACUGAAACACGGCCCAAACUCCUACGGAAGGCACCAUUGGGGAAUAUUGAACAAUGGGCCCAACCCUGAUCCACCCAUGCCCCGUGUGUGAAAAAGGCCUUCGGGUUGUAAAGCACUUUCAAAGGUGAGGAAGGGUGCGUAUUUAAUACCUGCGUACUUUGACGUUAACCUCAAAAAAACCACCGGCUAACUCUGUGCCACCGGCCG
rnacentral:rRNA from 1 species